GGCCCAUAAUAAAAAAUCUAAGUACAUUUUUGGAUUCAGCAUAUCAAAGAACUUCAAGAUUUCAAUUUUUGUUAAAAUCAGACUAAGUUUAAUUUUGGACCCUUUGGACUUUAGUGUAGACCAAUUUGAAAACAGGACCAAAAAUGAAGAAAUCUACAUACACAGUUAGAUUUGGUAUAUCAAAGAACCCCAUUUAGUCAAUUUUUGAUGAAAUCAAACAAAGUUUAAUUUUGGACCCCGAUUUGGACCAACUUGAAAACUGGGCCAAUAAUCAAGAAUCUAAGUACAUUUUUAGAUUCAGCAUAUCAAAGAACCUAACUGAUUCAUUUUUUGUCAAAAUCAAACUAAGUUUAAUUUUAGACCCUUUGGACCUUAAUGUAGACCAAUUUGAAAACGGGACCAAAAGUUAAGAAUCUACAUACACAGUCAU
rnacentral:lncRNA from 1 species